GACUUCAGACAAGCUGUGUUUGAUGUUUGUCUACAUGUGGUCAGAGGGAACCUAAACAAGAACAGGCUGUACAUGCCUUUGCAGACCUCAAGGAUCAUUUCCCUGAUUUUGUUUCCUUGGUGGUGGAUGUUCUUGGACUAUUAGAUGUAGAGCUGAACUGUGUUGAUGAGGUUAAAGGUGCCAGGGACAGAUUUUAUAGUUUAGUUCAAACUUUUUCUCUGAGUUUUGAUUGUGAAUCUCUACUGAAGUCAAGAUUGGAUCAUGAUACGCUUGAGAAUGCUGGACUUGUACCAAACAAAACUGUUUUCACACAGAAACAUGUGAAAAUAAAGACAAGACUUUAUUACAAACAGCAGAAGUUUAACCUGCUACGAGAAGAUAGUGAAGGAUACUCAAAGCUUGUGACAGAACUAAAUCAGGAAAUUACAGGAAAAGCUAACACCGGAAGUUGUCUUACAGAA